CAAUGCAAGCGACGACGAUCUCCCUUUCCACUUGAAACUCCGUGCCUGCAAAUGGUUGAGAACGCACUUUGUUCGAGAUCGGCGGGAAGACGAAGAAGACCUGACCGUCACAGAUCUGGUGCCCAAUAGUACUUAUGAUACCAUUUGCUACGCCAGUCUUCUCUGGUUCU
rnacentral:ribozyme from 1 species